rnacentral:rRNA from 1 species
GACGAACGCUGGCGGCGUGCCUAACACAUGCAAGUCGAGCGAUGAAACCCUUCGGGGCGGAUUAGCGGCGGACGGGUGAGUAACACGUGGGUAACCUGCCUCAAAGAGGGGGAUAGCCUCCCGAAAGGGAGAUUAAUACCGCAUAACAUUAUUUCUUCGCAUGAAGAGAUAAUCAAAGGAGUAAUCCGCUUUGAGAUGGACCCGCGGCGCAUUAGCUAGUUGGUGAGGUAAUGGCUCACCAAGGCGACGAUGCGUAGCCGACCUGAGAGGGUGAUCGGCCACAUUGGAACUGAGAUACGGUCCAGACUCCUACGGGAGGCAGCAGUGGGGAAUAUUGCGCAAUGGGGGAAACCCUGACGCAGCAACGCCGCGUGGGUGAAGAAGGCCUUCGGGUUGUAAAGCUCUAUCUUCUGGGACGAUAAUGACGGUACCAGAGGAGGAAGCCACGGCUAACUACGUGCCAGCCGCCGCAGUAA